UACGUAGGGGCCUAGCGUUGUCCGGAUUUAUUGGGCGUAAAGAGCUCGUAGGCGGUCUGUUGCGUCGGCUGUGAAAACCCGGGGCUCAACUCCGGGCCUGCAGCCGAUACGGGCAGACUAGAGUUCGGCAGGGGAGACUGGAAUUCCUGGUGUAGCGGUGAAAUGCGCAGAUAUCAGGAGGAACACCGGUGGCGAAGGCGGGUCUCUGGGCCGAUACUGACGCUGAGGAGCGAAAGCGUGGGGAGCGAACAGG
rnacentral:rRNA from 1 species